GACGAACGCUGGCGGCGUGCCUAAUACAUGCAAGUUGAGCGCUGAAGGUUGGUACUUGUACCAACUGGAUGAGCAGCGAACGGGUGAGUAACGCGUGGGGAAUCUGCCUUUGAGCGGGGGACAACAUUUGGAAACGAAUGCUAAUACCGCAUAAAAACUUUAAACACAAGUUUUAAGUUUGAAAGAUGCAAUUGCAUCACUCAAAGAUGAUCCCGCGUUGUAUUAGCUAGUUGGUGAGGUAAAGGCUCACCAAGGCGAUGAUACAUAGCAGACCUGAGAGGGUGAUCGGCCACAUUGGGACUGAGACACGGCACAAACUCCUACGGGAGGCAGCAGUAGGGAAUCUUCGGCAAUGGACGAAAGUCUGACCGAGCAACGCCGCGUGAGUGUAGAAGGUUUUCGGAUCGUAAAACUCUGUUGGUAGAGAAGAACGUUGGUGAGAGUGGAAAGCUCAUCAAGUGACGGUAACUACCCAGAAAGGGACGGCUAACUACGUG
rnacentral:rRNA from 1 species